AUGGCAGAUACUGGAAAACUGAACACG
rnacentral:piRNA from 2 species